rnacentral:tRNA from 2 species
GCGCUCUUAGCUCAGUUGGUUAGAGCACCACCUUGACAUGGUGGGGGUCGGUGGUUCGAGUCCACUCGGACGCACCA